rnacentral:rRNA from 1 species
GACGAACGCUGGCGGCGUGCUUAACACAUGCAAGUCGAACGGAAAGGCCCUGCUUUUGUGGAGUGCUCGAGUGGCGAACGGGUGAGUAACACGUGAGUAACCUGCCCUUGACUUUGGGAUAACUUCAGGAAACUGGGGCUAAUACCGGAUAGGAGCUCCUGCUGCAUGGUGGGGGUUGGAAAGUUUCGGCGGUUGGGGAUGGACUCGCGGCUUAUCAGCUUGUUGGUGGGGUAGUGGCUUACCAAGGCUUUGACGGGUAGCCGGCCUGAGAGGGUGACCGGCCACAUUGGGACUGAGAUACGGCCCAGACUCCUACGGGAGGCAGAAGUGGGGAAUAUGGCACAAUGGGCGGAAGCCUGAUGCAGCAACGCCGCGUGCGGGAUGACGGCCUUCGGGUUGUAAACCGCUUUCGCCUGUGACGAAGCGUGAGUGACGGUAAUGGGUAAAGAAGCACCGGCUAACUACGUG